CGAGAGGAGAAGAGCUUGUCGCCGCUCACGCAGAGGGGAAGCUGCCUGAGGGCAGGGGAGAGGAGCGCAAAACACAGAGACAAGACUGGGGGUGGUACGAAACCUGACUUUCGCUCUGAAAAUGACAAUAGCAAAGCGGUCUCACGGGACAAAACCCUACUCGCGAAACUGGCCGUAGGUAGGAGGCUGUUCGUGCUACACGAGGGCCAUGUUACCUACCCGAAGCAAAAAAGGGGCGCUGUUGCUUUCAGACUUUUUACCUCUGGUAAAGUUAGUACAGGGGGAACGCGGCGCCCUGGGACUGAGCCUGAACUGCGGGUAGGAGUGAAUGUCAGCUGGGCAACGAGGAAGAGGCGAAGGAAGCAUUUUAACAACAGGAAAGAGUUACUGCAUCAGUGUCUGAAACAAGAUGCUCUUUAUUGUCCAGAUUAUCCCUCUGCAUCAAAGACAUAAGUAUCAAAGCAGUUACACGUGUGAAUGUAAAAAAUGUCUACACUUCUAAAUGCUGUUCUGAGCACAAGCUUACCUAGUGUAAAAUAUUUGUAACGAAUUAAAUAUUAGGAAGAAACAAAGUUGGAAUCUGGCAUAACAUCAGACCUCAGAAACAGAAUUAAAUACAACAGCGGAGCCUAGACCCUAACUAAGCACCACUGUUAAAAAAAAUUAUAGCAGAAAAACCACAACAGUUUGAGGAGUUCUCUGUCCUGGCCAUUAUUUCUUCUCUUGUCCCACCACCAUCAUUUAAAAGGAACAGGAUUACCAAAAGAUUAAACAAGGAUUUCUACUAUAUCUGCUAGAAGCAUAGUUCUUAUCAUCUGUAACUCUCAAAAGAUUGUCUUCAAAAUACAGUGUUGAAUAGUACUGCCAUACUGAGGUUUCUUAGCAUUUCAUAAUUUGUAGGCAACACAGCUAAGCUGAAGUUUUGUUAACAGUAUUCUACGUAAUGUAUUACUGGAGUAAGGACAUUCAUGUUCAGAAAGACGUGCUAGUGAGGUGAAAAUUCAUAGAAAUGAAGGACAAUUAAAACUUGGUUUUUGUAUGCUCCAAUCACGUUCUAAGUAAAGUAUCUAAAAUUUUAAUACACGUUCACAUCUUAGUUAAAGCUAUAAAGAGCCUCACACAGAAGAGCUGCAACAUGAAGAUAACAUAAUUCACAAACAGGGAGUUACACAAGAGAACUUUCAAAAACAAAUGAAACGGAUUUGAGACCUGUGACCUUCAAGAACCAUACUUACAGGUCAUUCUACAUCCCUGUCGAGAUCCCUAUGCUUUGUCAUAGGUCAGGACUACUGAAAUAAUGACCGACUUAAGCACAAAGAAGCUAGGAAAUUCAGUGCCAAGAUUUCCAAGGAAUUCUUCAAUCAGGAAAAAACCACAGGUAAGCUCACAUCAUUAUGCCUCCUGUGGAAAGGGAUCUAUUUUAUUAGACAUAUUUAAUAUACUUGUUGGAUCAGCCUGGGGAAUCUAUUAAGAUAGUUACUGUUAUAAUUAAAUUAGAUAAGGGUCUUCAGAGCAUGCAAAUAGUAUGUAAAUUAAACAAAAUGUAAAAAAAAGUAAUAAGAAAUCCCACAAUACUGGAUGCUGCUCCAAACCAGUAGCAAAAUACAACUAGAAACUGUGGUAGGUACUAGCAAAUAAAACUAGAACACUGCAUUAAUCUAAAAGCUCACUCAGUAGUGAGCCAUCCCAGCAAUAAGAUAGCAAAAGGAUAGCAAACUUCCAGACUAAUUUCUUUUUCAUAACUUAAUUCCUUAUUUUCACAAGAGCUUUGAACAGGCAGUCCCUUGUUGUGACCAUAAAUAGAGUUACAUAAUAUUGAACAAAAUCAAUGUAGCCAAAACAGGUCUUCUGCAACGGUAAUAAAGGGACAGUUCAUAAUUUCCUUUUGGUACUUCAAUUUUUCAUUUCAAACAUGUUUUCUUUGGGCUAUGAAGUGUUCUGAAGACAUGCAUUAGAAAUCCUUUGAUACAGAUCUAUCUGUGCUGCUGCAACGAA